rnacentral:rRNA from 1 species
GACGAACGCUGGCGGCGUGCCUAACACAUGCAAGUCGAACGGGGUGAUUUCCUUCGGGAGAUCACUUAGUGGCGAACGGGUGAGUAACGCGUGAGAAACCUGCCUUUCAGUGGGGGACAACAGUUGGAAACGACUGCUAAUACCGCAUAAUGUAUUUUGGGGGCAUCCCUGAAAUACCAAAGCUUUAUGUGCUGAAAGAUGGUCUCGCGUCUGAUUAGCUAGUUGGUGAGGUAACGGCUCACCAAGGCGACGAUCAGUAGCCGGUCUGAGAGGAUGAACGGCCACAUUGGGACUGAGAUACGGCCCAG